AUGGACAAUAUGUUGGUUGACUUAGGUGGUAGCCAUCCUCCACCGGUUACUGAGGAGCCAACCUCCUCUGCCAAGGCUUUUUAUAGGAUGGUCAGUAGUGCUGAUGAAUUGGUACAUGAGAAUACAAAACACACACGUCUUUCUGCUGUAGCUCGCUUGCUGGCUAUGAAAUCACAAUACAACAUGUCCAUUGCACAUUUUGAUGAUACCUUAAAAAUAAUCCAUGAACUUUUGCCUCCUGAAUCUAAUUUGUCCGAAGACUUCUACCAAUCCAAGAAACUCUUAGAAGGUCUUGGUAUGCCAUAUGUUAAAAUAGAUGUGUGCAAAAAUAAUUGCAUGUUGUAUUACAAAGAUAACAAACAUAAAGAGAAGUGUGACUUUUGUGGCACAUCUCGUUAUGAGGAAGGCCAAAAGAAAAUCCCACGUAAAGUUUUGCGGUACCUCCCUCUAAAAGAUAGAUUGCAAAGGUUGUAUGCCAAUGAG
rnacentral:rRNA from 1 species